rnacentral:rRNA from 1 species
AGUGAACGCUGGCGGUAGGCCUAACACAUGCAAGUCGAACGGCAGCACAGUAAGAGCUUGCUCUUACGGGUGGCGAGUGGCGGACGGGUGAGGAAUACAUCGGAAUCUACUUUUUCGUGGGGGAUAACGUAGGGAAACUUACGCUAAUACCGCAUACGACCUACGGGUGAAAGCAGGGGAUCUUCGGACCUUGCGCGAUUGAAUGAGCCGAUGUCGGAUUAGCUAGUUGGCGGGGUAAAGGCCCACCAAGGCGACGAUCCGUAGCUGGUCUGAGAGGAUGAUCAGCCACCGGGAAAUUGGGAACCGGUCCAGCCCCCUAGGGGAGGCAGCGGGGGGGAAAUUUGGAAAAUGGGCGCAAGCCUGAUCCAGCCAAACCGGGGGGGUGAAGAAGGCCUGCGGGUUGUAAAGCCUUUUUGUUGGGAAAAAAAAGCAGCAGGUUAAACCCCCGCUGUUCUGACGGUACCCAAAGAAUAAGCACCGGCUAACUUCGU